rnacentral:lncRNA from 1 species
AGCAUUUGGACACUUGAAACAUGAUUUUUGGGGGACUUAGAUGAGUUUACGGCCAAGGAUAGUGCUUGGGCCGUAAACUCCCCAAAACUUGACAUAAAACCAAUUCUAAGGUGUUAGAAAGCCAUCCAACACCACCAAAAGCUUUGGAAUAAAUCAAGGGACCAACCAAAAAUACUUUGAAGGCCUUAAACACAUCUUUUAUGGGGUUUCUAAGAGUUUACGGCCAAGACCUGUUCUUGGGCCGUAAACUCCAAAAUCUUUGGUGUUAGAAUGCAAACUAAACACCCCUACAGCCUUUAGAUGAAUUUUAGAAGCCAUUCUAUGCUAGUUUCAGGCCUUGAAACACUUUGUAGCUUGUUAUAUUAGAGUUUACGGCCAUGAAGGGGGUUUCAUGGGCCGUAAACUCCAUAAAUCCCUUAUAUGUCACUUGCAAACUCAUUUCUAGGCUUAUGGGAAUUUUUAGAAUCACAUGUGAUUGAUUUUAACAACUUAAAAACACUAAAUCUUGGAGAAUUGAGAGUUUACGGCCAAAGAACCCAUGCCUAGGCCGUAAACUCCCUUAUGUGUUGUAAAUGAUGUUUUUAAAUUAAUCCAAGCCUUAAGAAAAAUUAAUCCAAGCAUUUCCAAGUGUCCAUAUCCAUUUAUAACCCAAAUUUGCACUCUAAACCACCCUACCAUGAGUUUACGGCCGUAAACUCAUGGGGAAUGGGUGUUUUGGACCUAAAACUCUUGUAUAAGUUUACUCAUGGGGAGUAAACUCAAGUCCCAAGUCCCUAGUGUCAUUUCCCAUCCUUAAACGCCACCCGGGUCCCUCCAAACACUCGUAUCGGAGUGUUUUCGCGACUUGAAGCAAUUGUCCCUAUCCAACAAUCAAUCUAAGUCCUAAUUAGAUACAAAUGUGUAUCUUUACAUUAUAAUUAGGAAUCUCGUGUAUUUGCAAGCCCCGGAUCAACUCUUAGCAUCCAAAUCGUCAUACUUCUCGUCCGGUGAGUUCAUACCCCUACGCCUUUUUCACUGUUUUUAACUGUUUUCAGGGGGGAAUACAAGCAAACCAAAACUGUUUUCAAAUCAUAACAUUUAUGUGUUUCAAAUAAUAUCUGGCAAACUUAUAAACUCUUUUACUCCUUAUGUAUUAUGUUGAGCAUAAGGAAUGAUUUAUCAAUUACAACUAAAUGGAUUUUAGUUAAGAAAAUAACCAAACUAAUCAAAUUAUUAUGGGAAUAAUUUGGGGUUCUAUGUUUCUCUUUAUAUCAUGUACUGAUAUCUGUAUUAAGUUAUUAGAUAAACUAUGUCUGAUUCAGUUUAUCUCCGUAUCAUUCGAAUGUUUUUGCCAGAUAAUUUCAUUGUAUGUAUCUAUUUUUCACUGUAUCAUGUCUUAAAGUCUAUGUAUGUUUGUAAUCGUAUGAGAAUCCUGUGAAUAGUUUAAUACUAGUUUGUGAGAUAGUCACUACCCUUUAUGGAUGAUCAAGUAAAUCCUCUCCGGAAGUGUAACCAGAGUCUCCUGGAGGGAGAGCGAGGAAUUUGUGAAUAGAUCUAUUCGGGACUGACAAUCCCACACCUUAACUGCUAGCUACAGUUAGGCGGGCACGCCUAGGGUGACAAAUUCUGGAUAUCAUUCGACGUCUGACUAACGUCAAGGAGGUCUCGUUGUCAUAUCAGCAUGGUUACCCGACUCACAAUACGUAUUAAUAUAAACUUAUUCACAGCUAGGAUCUGUUUAGAAUCUAUAUCUUGUUCGGGAUGGUAAUCCCAUGGUCUUGUAAUCUAUAUCUCGUUCGGGAUGGUAAUCCCAUGGUUUUAUGUCUAUAUCUCGUUCGGGAUGAUAAUCCCAUGAUCUUGUGUCUAUAUUUCGUUCGGGAUGGCAAUCCCAUGGUUUUGAAACUAAAUCUUAUACGGGAUGAUAAUCCCAUGAUUUUAUCAAACUAUCUUAUAUCUAGUUUCGGGAUAGUGAUCCCAUGGUUUAUCAAGUUAUCUUAUAUCUAGUUUCGGGUUAGUGAUCCCAUGGUUUUUAUCGAAUUAUCUUAUAACUGGUUCGGGAUGUAGUCCCAAGGUUUUCAAAAUACUUUCUAUUUACAGUUCGUCUAAAUUAUAGUUUUGUGUAUUAAACUAUACUAUGUGUUAUCCAAUCAAUCUUACAAUUAGGAAAAUAUGGGAUUUUCCUGGGGUUAACUUAUAUCUGUAACAGAACUGUAAUGAAAGAUAACUUAACUACUUUACAUAAGAAAAUAUGGGAUUUUCUUGGAUAUCAAAUCUUUUCAGAAAACUAAAGGAAACCGAUACAUUUUCACAAAACAAAACCGCUUAUGAACUCACCAGCUUUAUGCUGAUUUUCAAACUGCUUGUAUUCUCAGGUCCAAGUUAGACAGGUACCCGGCGAUAUCUUUUGGUGAAGACGGAGUGCUCCGAAGACUCGUCUCUUUUGUUCAUAUGAUAUAUGUAUAACUUUUGUACAAUUUACUUUUGAACCAAAUGUAAACUUUCAUAUAUAUGUAAUGUAAUGGUUGUUUACUGUGAUUACUAUGUACAUUGGAUUUGAUACACAACAUGGAGUCAACCCCGGGAACGUUUCCGCCUUUGGUUUUCGGGGUGUGACAGAUUGGUAUCAGAGCCCUUGUUUAUAGUGAACAGAGUAUACCAAACCUUACAUGGUAUAAGACUAUAAACAUUAAGGGGCCUAAGUGCUCUGAACUAAAAGUAUCCUACAAGAUAUAAGUAUUUUCAAAAGUAUUUAAGUAUGCCGAGCCGUCGAAAUCCGUAACUACAAGUAGAACAAAACAUAAGUAAAUGGGUGUUGUACACUGCGGUUAAACCUGGGCAGUUAUGUAGUCGUGUCUAGGGUCAAUAUAGCCUGGCCAACUAUAUUCAUUCGAGACACGGCCAACAUGUGCUUGGGAGUGACUGUGGCAUGCGGCAUACCUAAAACUUACCCAAUAUCCCAAACAACAAAUCGUCGCUGCAGCGAACCAUGAAAUACUAUGGGAGUAUUUCUCGAGCCGAUCCUUUGUAGAAAUUCUCGUAUACGCGUUAUUCCUUGAUCAUUCCUCUAGCGAUAAAAUGUUCUAUCUUGAUAACUCCUUUCUGCUUUAUCGCUUAGUAUGAUGCUAUAUUUGCCUUGAUGAGAUAUCUCCUGUCCCAUAUCUCUUGAUUCAAUUCAGAGGACUUAUGAUCCUCUCUUUCCUGAUCUUGUUAGAUCACGAUGCCUCCAAGAAAGAGACCCAGCUCAACGAACAACAACAAUCCUCCUCUUCAACUUGAUCUUGCAUCGCUUCAGACAGUUCUGACUGCUGCAAUGGUAGCAGCCAUGUCGCAAAUGAACUCUAGAAAUUCAGGAGGUGAUCCCCAACCCCAAAACCCAGAAGAUAGCCAGGGACACCAAAAAGGGGGUUCCUAUAAAGACUUCAUGAACGCAAAACCGACAUUCUUCGAUGGCACAGGGGGUGUCAUUGCUUUAACCCGAUGGUUCGAGAGAAUCGAAUCAAUCUUUGAAAUAUGUGGCUGUUCGGAGUCUGAUAGAGUCAAGUUUGCUGCCUGCACCUUCCUAGACAAAGCCCUGACUUGGUGGAAUGGCCGAGUCAAAUCCUUAACUUUACCUGUAGCCAAUGCUAUGGGUUGGGAAGCUAUGAAGGAGCUUCUUCUCGCAGAGUAUUGCCCUCGGGGCGAACUUCAGAAGCUAGAACAUGAACUUUGGAACCUUAAGAUGAAGGGUUCUGACAUAGCUGCUUAUACCUCAAGAUUCGACGAUCUGGCCCUACUUUGUCCGGGAAUGGUUACCCCGGAAAGUAAAAAGAUAGAGAGAUUCAUCUGGGGGUUGACCCAGCCAACAAAGGGGAAUGUCUUGGCUGCGAAGCCAGACACUUAUGACAGUGCCAAGUGCCUUGCGAAAAUCCUGAUAGAUCACGAAGACAACUCUGAUGAAGAAGCUACUACCCCCGAGCCAGUCACUAGUGGAGGCGGAAGUAAAAGGAAAUCCUGGAACAAGCGUAAGGCCCAGAGUACGCAAGGGUCUUCUAAGAAACAGCAAACGGUAGCAGUCCAUGCUGCUACUGCCCCUGUUGCUGUUUCAGCUGUAGGUUCCACAGCCCAAACUCCCGCCAGUGGAUAUACUGGUACCCUUCCUUGGUGUGGUAAGUGCAACUACCACCACCGCAUUCCUGGACCAUGUCGCGAAAGGAUCUGCGACAACUGUGGCAAUAAGGGCCAUCUUGCGCGAACCUGUAGAAAACCAGCCAAGCCAACGAACCAAUCAUCUGGAACGGGAAUCAGUCCGGCCUGCUACAAUUGUGGUGAAGCUGGGCACUUCAAAAGGAAUUGUCCCAAGACAGCUACAACCACAAAUCCCUCUGCUGCCGCAGGUAUAUCUCUCUUUGAUAAUUCUUAUACUUGCAACUCUUUUCGAUUUUGGGUGCAAAAAGGGAAACCUGUUAUCUAUCUAUUCGAACAUAUUCUAAACUCAAUCCUUCGUAUGUAAUCGAAAUGUGUACCGUCGAGACGACUAACUAGUGAGAUAGAGAACACUAACUUCGUACCUAUAGAUUGAAUCCUCAGUCCGGAGGACUAUUCUGUUCCAUUCGAUUUAUAAAGGGGGAAACUUUCCAUGAAAAUACUUUGAUGCUAUGUUUAACAUGAAAUGACCGAGUCUCAUUCAUGUUGUUAUCUUUACUUUCGAAAGGGUCGCUCGUCUAGAUUUUUUCUCGACCCUGUUCUCGUGAUCUUCGGCAUCAAACUUUCGUAUCAUUCUAUGCCUUAGAACUCAAAAGUUUUCCCAAUGUGAAUUACCACGCAUCCCUCGUUUCUGUGAUUAUUGAGAAACGGGAAGUUAGCAGCUCUUCCCUCUAAAUGUCUAUCCCGAAGGAUUCCCGGGAGUUUCUUUCGAGCGUCUAGUUUAGUCUCACAUCAGACCUUUCGAGAUCUUCGUAGAGAUCGAUUCUGCAACCUUCAGGUUUCGGAUGCCCUUAGAGCUUGGUAAUAUCUAUCUAGACCAUCACGUCUCAAAUCCUUAGAAGCGUCUGCCCAACGAAACCCUAGUGAUUCCUUGAGGAAACCGAAGUCGUUCAGGGUUGGAACUUCCACGAGAAAGCAGAUUGAUAUCGUAGAUUGAGAGAGAGUCAAGAAGCGAAACCAAGGCAUGUCCCGAUAAUGAGAAUUCGUUAGAACGCCCAGUAGAGACCUGAUUCCACUUGAGAAAGUGAAGAUCCGAAGCAACAAAUCCAUUCGUGUUUCAUUCCAAUCCAUGACCUGUAUCUUAUUCUUUGAAUUUCGGGACGAAAUUCCCUCUAACGGGGGGAUAAUGUAACAACCCGAAGUUGUUCAUCGCCGAAAACCCGUUCUACCCGAAUAACUCGUCGGAAAUCGAAAUGUCCCGUUAUCGUUUUUGGGCUUAGUUAACUAAAAUUAUAUAUUUAUUUUCAUUCAAUGAGGGUCCAAAUCAUUUAGGAACUCAUGAAUUUAGCCCAAAACAUUUAUUUCAUAAGUUUUAGAAAUAUCCUCGUCGGGUGACGGAAACUCAAUCGGGUGCGACCCAAAGCAUCGUUUAAGGCCGGUAUCGGGUAGAAUUCCACCGUGUCCAAGUUUUAGGGACUAUAUAAAAAUGUUUAAGCACUCAUUUGAAGCUUUUUCCUUCUCUCUCUACUCUCUCUCUAACCUCUCUCCUAAAUCCAAAGAUUAAGUGUCCAAAACUCAAAUUUAAGGCUUCAAAUCCUUAAGGUACCUUCCUAGCCUUAAUCUAUAGCAUGUUUAGCUUCCAAAUUAGACACUUAAUCAUGAAAUUGGACAAUAUAUGUGAGUUUACGGCCCAGGAGGCUGCCUAGGCCGUAAACACCAUUUUGAAGGGUUUUUAGCCCUUAAACUCCUUCCUAAACUCAAUUGGACUUUAGAUAUGGCUAAGGGACUUCAAGAUAUGGACUUAGAACAUGUAAAUCUUUGAUUUUGAGGACUUUGAAGGAGUUUACGGCCAAGGCAUAAGCUUGGGCCGUAAACUCAUGUUAAUGGGGUUUUUCAUGCCCUUAAACCCUUCCAAAUCACCUCUAUGGCUUAGAUAUGAAUUAUAGGACCUUGGUAUUAGCAUUUGGACACUUGAAACAUGAUUUUUGGGGGACUUAGAUGAGUUUACGGCCAAGGAUAGUGCUUGGGCCGUAAACUCCCCAAAACUUGACAUAAAACCAAUUCUAAGGUGUUAGAAAGCCAUCCAACACCACCAAAAGCUUUGGAAUAAAUCAAGGGACCAACCAAAAAUACUUUAAAGGCCUUAAACACAUCUUUUAUGGGGUUUCUAAGAGUUUACGGCCAAGACCUGUUCUUGGGCCGUAAACUCCAAAAUCUUUGGUGUUAGAAUGCAAACUAAACACCCCUACAGCCUUUAGAUGAAUUUUAGAAGCCAUUCUAUGCUAGUUUCAGGCCUUGAAACACAUUGUAGCUUGUUAUAUUAGAGUUUACGGCCAUGAAGGGGGUUUCAUGGGCCGUAAACUCCAUAAAUCCCUUAUAUGUCACUUGCAAACUCAUUUCUAGGCUUGUGGGAAUUUUUAGAAUCACAUGUGAUUGGUUUUAACAACAUUUAGCAUCAUUUUCAUAAGGAUUAAGGAGUUUACGGCCAGGAGCCUAUGCUAGGCCGUAAACUCCCAUAAAUUAAUCAUUUUGGUGAUUUUAAUCCAUUCCAUGCAUUUAGAUCAAAGCCUAGAAUCAUUUCCCAUGUCCAUGUAAGCCAUUUAAGCCAUUUAAACACCCAAAACCACACCCACAUGAGUUUACGGCCGUAAACUCAUGUAUGUGUGUGUUUUGUGGUUGUAAACUCAUUUAAAUGUUUACUUAUGGAGAGUAAACUCAAGUCCCAAGUCCCUAGUGCCUUUACAAGUCCUUAAACGCCACCCGGGUCACUCCAAACGCUCAUUUUAAGGUGUUUAACCUCAUUGGAGUGUAAUGUUCCAUAUGAUUAGUGAAUGUAUCCCUAAUUGUAUAUAUAUGGACAUUAUUUCAUUUUACAUAGGGUCAUCGCGAGUAAUCAAACCCCGAACCAACGACUAGCAUUCAAAACCGACACGUUUCCGAGUCCGGUGAGUUCAUACCCCUACCCUUUUUCACUGUUUUCACUGUUUUUUGGGGGGGGAACACAAGCAAAGUACAAGGAAAUUCUUGUACUCAAAACAUAUUUUCAAAUGCGUGUUUAUUAAUUCAUAUGCUUUUGUUACUGAUUACCACAACUGAUAACCAUUUGAACAUGCAGAUCACUUAACAUAUAUUUGUGAAAUAGGUCUUUAAACUGUUAUGUUUUACAUAUAUUUCACAAAUGAUUUUCCAUAUUUUAUCAGUUAAAAGCAUUACAUAAGACAUUUGAAUAUAAUACCUGUACACUGUUGUCUCCUCGGUAACACUCCACAUAUAUACGCGAGUGGAGGACUAUCAUAUUAUUACUAGUAAAUUUGUUAAUCCGGUAUAAUUGAAGACACGUCCUUGGAGAACACUCCACCAAGGUACACGAGUGGAGGACUACACCCAUAACCAGAAUCUCUGGUAUUUAGAGAGCGUGACUUGAGUGUAUAGAUCUAUACGGGGCUGACUACCCCACACCUGGCUGCUAGCUACAGCCGAACCGAAAUGGUUCAAGGGUGACGAAAGUCAUAAGUAUGUGGACGACUUAUUGCCACAUGUGGGCUACUUAUUGCCACAGGUUUUAGUCUAUUGUAUGGUUAUGGAACUCGCAAUUGGGAUGACAGAGAUUAACUUAUAGUAAUAAUGAAUCACUCUAUACAACUUUUACAUCUUUCACAUCUUUCACAUCACUGUAACCAACAUUCAGGAAAGUACGGGACUUUCCUGUGAAAAACAUGGGAACCAAUCACAAUUGCAUCUUUUACAUCUUUGCAUCGUUUACAUUUGAAACCAACAUGCAGGAAAGCAUGGGGCUUUUCUGGGUAACACUUACCUAACUAGAAAGAGUAACAAACUGGAUAACAUUACAUCUUUUACAAUUUGUAAUAUACAAUAAGGAAAGUAUGGGACUUUCCUGGUAACACAUGAUAAGCAAACAGAUCAGUUUAAUCAGUCGGAUAACCAACUAUACAUUUUCACAUGAAUAAACAUAUUUUCAAUGUACAAACUUAUCAUACCUUUCGUUUGUGAAUCAAUAACUAACUAUUAAUAAAAUAUGGGAUUUUCUUGGUACAUUCGACAUUUCAGAAACAGAAAGGAAACUCGAAUCAUGUUCACAAACAAAACCGCUUAUGAACUCACCAGCUUUAUGCUGAUUUUCAAACCGCUUGUGUUCUCAGGUCAGCGUUAGAACAGGUACCCGAAGAUUUCUUUUGAUCAGAAGAUGGAGUACAUGAAGACCCGUUUCAUUUUGUCUAUAUAUACUAUGUAUUACAACUGUACAAACUUUACUUUUGAAACAACUGUAAAACUUUAUAAUGUAAUGUAAUGGUUGUUUUACUUUACUUACUAUGUGCAUUGGAUUUGAUACUCAACGUGGAGUCAACCCCGGAAAUGUUUCCGCCUUCGGUUUUCGGGGUGUGACAGAUUGGUAUCAGAGCCCUUGUUUAUAGUGAAUGAAGUAUACCAAACCUUACAUGGUAUAAAACUAUAAACACUAAAGGGCCUAAGUGCUCUGAAUUAAAAGUAUCUUCAAACUACAAGUAUUUUCA